UUUUCCUGUCCACAAGUGCCCGUGCACAAAAGUCACUGAUCUCGAUGCACUUGUUGACAUGACGUCAUCAUUUGACGCAUUUUCUGAGCAGUGAAAGGAGGAUCGAGGAUCAGAAACAAACACCAUGGUUGCGGGGAAAUUCUCUCUUGUGUCUGCAGUUCUGUUCGCCAUGUUGAUUUUACUAAUGUGUUCAUGCACCGAAGGAUAUAUUGGUAAAUGCUAUGCCAAGCGGAGUGAAUGUACACGUGCCGGGGGGAGAGACUGGAAGGCUUGUUUAAAAAUGUGUAAAUGUGCAAACUUUCAAUCAGGAAAAUGCGUAUAUAGCAGAGCAAAGUGUCCUUCCGCCAAAAAGAGAAACAUCUGUAUGUGUAGGAGAAGAAGAAAUGGACCAAAACCCAGAUAUUGCCGAUAAAAACAAAAUCAUGAAAUGCAUUGUCUAGGUUCGUUUACGUUUCAUAUAUUUUUAAUGGACGAGACAUUCGACACAUGAGGAAUUCAUUCUUUGCAGUAUCUGGUGCUGGAAGAUGUCGGCACAGUCCUCAAUAAAUACAUUCAGUGCAUGAUUUGAAGCAUUCUUUUUUUCAAGGGCUAUAAAAAUAUGUUUUACGUUAUUGGCAAUAAAUUCUCAAUAUCUCCAUA